AGAGAAGAAGAAAAGGGGGCAAACCCCUCAUUGAUAUAGAUCACCAAUUUGAAGGGCAAUUCGAGCCUUAAAUCAGUGCAUAAACGCAUAUAAACGGUCACCUAAACUAGGGGAUCGAAAGGCAAUUUGGGUGAAGCAUCAAGUGGUCAAGCCAGGAUAGACACGCGCUUGAAAGGAAAGCUUUAAGGAAACUUUUUGUAAUCAUUGAAGAAAAAUAUGAUCUAUCUGAUCGUGUGCUGAAGAUAAAGUCAAAAAAAUCAAAGAGAAGGAAGAUACAAGAUAAAUAGGACAAAAGCAGAAGUGAAGACACAUCUUCAACAUAUAUCAGAAUUUGAUCACAAUUGAAGGAAGACGGUCAGAGAAGACCAAUCUGAUAAGUCUGAUGAUAAAUCUGGUGUUUAUCAUCAAAAUCUGAUAACUUGGUAAGCUAUAAAAUAUACCAAAUUUCAUAAUAUUGGAACACAUAGCGAAC